rnacentral:rRNA from 1 species
GACGAACGCUGGCGGCGUGCUUAACACAUGCAAGUCGAACGAUGAAGCCCAGCUUGCUGGGUGGAAGAGUGGCGAACGGGUGAGUAACACGUGAGUAACCUGCCUAUCACUCUGGGAUAAGCGCUGGAAACGGCGUCUAAUACUGGAUACGACCUAUCACCGCAUGGUGUGUGGGUGGAAAGAUUUAUCGGUGGUAGAUGGACUCGCGGCCUAUCAGCUUGUUGGUGAGGUAAUGGCUCACCAAGGCGACGACGGGUAGCCGGCCUGAGAGGGUGACCGGCCACACUGGGACUGAGACACGGCCCAGACUCCUACGGGAGGCAGCAGUGGGGAAUAUCGCACAAUGGGCGCAAGCCUGAUGCAGCAACGCCGCGUGAGGGACGACGGCCUUCGGGUUGUAAACCUCUUUUAGUAGGGAAGAAGCGAAAGUGACGGUACCUGCAGAAAAAGCACCGGCUAACUACGUGCCAGCCGCCGUAAAAC